rnacentral:rRNA from 1 species
GUGAGUCAUCGAGUCUUUGAACGCACCUUGCGCUCCUUGGUAUUCCGAGGAGCAUGCCUGUUUGAGUGUCAUUAAUAUAUAUAUCAACCUUCUCUUGUUGAGUGGUUUAGAUGUUGGGGGUUUGCUGGCCUCUUAAAAGGUUCAGCUCCUCUGAAAUGUAUUAGCAGAACAACCUGUUCAUUGGUGUGAUAACUAUCUACGCUAUUGAAUGUGAUGGGGCAGUUCAGCUUUCUAACAGUCCUUGGACAAAUCAUCAUUAAUGUGACCUCAAAUCAGGUAGGACUACCCGCUGAACUUAAGCAUAUCAAUAAGCGGAGG